rnacentral:rRNA from 1 species
AGUGAACGCUGGCGGCAGGCCUAACACAUGCAAGUCGAACGGCAGCACAAGGGAGCUUGCUCUCUGGGUGGCGAGUGGCGGACGGGUGAGGAAUGCAUCGGAAUCUGCCCAUUUGUGGGGGAUAACCUCGGGAAACCGGGACUAAUACCGCAUACGACCUACGGGUGAAAGCAGGGGAUCUUCGGACCUUGCGCAGAUGGAUGAGCCGAUGCCGGAUUAGCUAGUUGGAGGGGUAAAGGCCCACCAAGGCGACGAUCCGUAGCUGGUCUGAGAGGAUGAUCAGCCACACUGGGACUGAGACACGGCCCAGACUCCUACGGGAGGCAGCAGUGGGGAAUAUUGGACAAUGGGCGCAAGCCUGAUCCAGCCAUGCCGCGUGUGUGAAGAAGGCCUUCGGGUUGUAAAGCACUUUUGUUGGGAAAGAAAAGCAGCCGGUUAAUACCCGGUUGUCAUGACGGUACCCAAAGAAUAAGCACCGGCUAACUUCGUG